rnacentral:lncRNA from 1 species
GAAAAAGUUCAGAAGUUCUGAGCACAGGAUCAUUUCUGCCAGAAAUUUCCUGAAUGUCAGGUUAGGACAGAGACGAGAGUGUGAAUUUGGAGUUUGGAGAAAAGUGGCCUCAGGGAUGGAAAUGGAGAUGAAGCAGAACAGGGCGGCUUCACCUAGAAGAAUUGUGCAAUUAUACUAGAUUUUCUUACAAAGACCUGUCAUUCUUUGUUUAUUUGUAAUUACCAUUCAAAAUCAUAAAAUGAAGAUAAUUAAGAAGAUAACUAAAAAAUAGGAAGAUAUUUACUAGAAGCCACUAACUUUUAAGAGAUAAUAAAAUUCUGGAAUUUGCCUUGUUCCUAUUACUUCUGUG